UAUGUAUGUGCACAUUGUAGUUAAUGCUGAUACAGCAGUAUUUGGUGCCAAAACUGGUAUCUAGGCAUCUUAUUGCCAUGUAGUCCUACGUUACUCAGAUACACACUGGCCUAGUAACCAGAUUCAAAUAUUCAGAUAAUGCAGUAACUAGGGUUAAAGGACCACGCCAAACCCCAAAAGCACUUUAAGCUGAGGGGUAGCCUGGUUUAACCCCAGUUCUAAAAGUGCAGAUUUCUAUAAGAAAGCUGCACUUUUAUAAAUUUGCUAGGGAACGCCCCCCUAGCUGUCAAUCAAACAGCCAGGGAGGUUUGCUGCCUCCUUCUGUUAGCUCCCCUGAGCUAACGGAAGUGACAGACACGCUCUACUUGAGUGUGCCUGCCUCCCCCUCACAGACCUCAGCCCAGAAAGGAGCGCGCCCACAAGCCGGCAGGCACACAUAACUGUGCAUGCAUGUAUGCAUUCUCCAAUACAGAACUGUGCAUGCGCGCACCAAAUCAGGUUAUUUCCCUGUGAAGACUCUUCCGGGGAAAAGGGUGAGGGCUUGCUAAGGGUGCAGUUAUGAUCUGCAGCCUUUGCAAGCUCUUUUAAGAUAUACCCCUAAUGAUACAAGCCUGAAAAUUCAUGCUUGUAUUCAUUAGGGUGUAUAACUAUUAAACAGUUAUUUUUUCUUCUUCUUGUGGGCAUUGGAGUGCUCAAGACAAUUAAAGGGACACUUUACGCAUACCCACUCAUAUUAUUGAAGUGGUUAUGGUGCCAGGAUACCAUGCCUGCAUCCUUACUAUUUAAUUCGUUUUCAUUCUGUCAAAAGAAGACUUUUUAAACAGAGCUCCAACCUCUGUAUAGAAGUUCUGUCACCCAGGAAUUACACUCCCCAGCUCAAUUAAUUUUAUGUUGGCACUAAUGUGAGAACGACUUGUAGAGUGCUUGUAAGUCAAAGACUCUACUUGUCUCUCUGAUUGGUGCUGGACACUACUGGGGAAAGCACACACAAUCAAACAUCAGAGAGGUAGCCCUAUAUUGGAGAGACUCCAAAUGUCCCAGUUUCUGGUGUGCCAGCCUGGCCAUGUUCAAAAUGUGAGUAAAUGCAGAAAGAUAAGUCCUGCGCUCACUCCCAUGUCUUUGCUACCGCCAAGUGAUGGGAGUGAGCGCAGGACUUAUUUUUCUGCAUUUGUAUCACUCAGCCUUGUUACAAUGCUGCCGCCCAUCCCAUGUGUUCAGGGUUAAUAAUAUAUAGGGGUGUAUAUUCUGUCUCAAUAGAGAUCUUUGCCAGAAGCUCAAGGAAGCAAGGUGAAUGGUCAGAGUUAGGACCCACCUGGGGGGUCUGCCUUGACGUUGGCAGGUGGGCUUAUCCUCUCAUGGCCAUUGGAGGUUGGCCAUUGGAGGUAACUAAAAAAACGCCAUUUGUUUAAAAAUACAUGGGGAUUAAGGAGAGAGCCAGGUAACUUGUUUUUCUUUGGUUUUUACUAUAUAUUGGGGCUGAUGUGUACUGUAGUCUUUGCUGCCAUCCAGUAAUGGGAGUGAGCGCAGGACUUAUCUUUCUGCAUUGAUGAUCUUAGCCUGGGAGGUGGGGUGGCUGCAUUGAGACCAAAGAUGUGAGAGAGUAAAGCGAAGUAUAAAAAGCUUUAUUUUAUUCAUUCUAAUAUAGCGAUAGUAUAACAAUAAAGUGUUAGGAAUACAGGUUUGUAUUCAUAACUCUAAGUAUUCCUUUAAGAGUAUCUUAGAAGCUCUUUGCUGUUUUAAAUGGCCACGAAUGCCUGUCUUGGAAUAAAGAUAUCAAUCAUAUUGUCUGACUUGAGAAAUCUGUAAGUGGCUUUUAAUAUGUUGUAAUGAAAUUGAAUGUGUUGAAUAUAUUAUGUCCUUGUUGCAUAUUUCGAGUUGCCAUUUGAUUGUAACAAUCCUGACCUUUAUAAUACCUCUGCUUUGUCUCUCCUACCAUUCUGCAGAACACAUACAAAAUACGAGAUACACCUAGAUAGAAAACAUCAAGAAAGGAACAAUCACAUCCUAAACACCGUUUAGUAAAUGGAACCCUAAAAUAGUAUUGCACUCACAAAAAGAUGAUGAAAAUCAAGCCCAUCUAGGUUUUCUUUAAUCUUGUCAGGAAGUCUUGUAGGGGAAUGCUUGAUUCAAAAAUAGGAGAUAAAAGCGCCCAUCAAGUAUUUGACUCUCUUGCAGAAUGACAAUCAGAGGUUUCAGAUACAAAAAUGGUAAAUAAAGUAAAAGCAGCUCUACGCGUUUCAUCUAAAACCUUAGACUUCUUCAGGAGCAAAUAAAAAACUAUCAAAUAAAUAACAAUAUAAUAAGUCCGUAAGUGCUGAUGUUGUCUUCUGUUCGGUCUUCUUUUAAAUGUGUCUUUUGCCGGGUUGCCGUUCGCACCAUCCAAUCCGUGAGCUUGGUAUCACCUAAUUUCGAUGUACUAGAGUCCCAGUCCACAUAUGGACUUCCGUCAAUCGUUCCGUGGAACGCAAAUGCGUUCCACCGAACCGGAAGUGAGAGCCUUCUUACACAUCCGUCAUUGACGGCUGGAAUGCACAUGCGUUCCACCAGGCCGUUACCUUGAUCGAAGUUAGUCCGUAUUCUUAAAGAGGGCAGAUUGGCAGAGAAAUGCAGAGUUAAUUAUACAGAACAUGAAACUGGCAUUAUAAGUGUAUAUAUAAAUUACCUAUAGUACUCCAAAUGUGAAAAAAGUAAUUUGAUCGAAGGGAGGGAUCUUGGAUGCAAUAAAUAAAUAAAAAACAAUAAAUGAAUAAUAGGCAAGAGAAAAAAUACAAAAAUAACACAAAAAUGAAAAUAAUAAAUUCUGCAGAACAAUCUAUUAUUACAUUUUCAGGUGAAAAAAAAAAUUAACCUAAUUUACAGUUGACUAACACACUUCAUCUAUACAAGGUCAAAACUGAUGUAAAACGAAUAUGUUUUAGAAACCAUUGUUACCCCUGCUAUUCAUUUCUUAAAGGGGCACUCCAGGCUUAAAUAGAUCCAUUUGUAUGCAUUGUUUGACCAAUAUAUAAAGAUGUGCAAAUGCAACCAAUUUGCCCACUCUAGGAACUGACUUGGUCCGCCAUAUUCUAGUCUAAGCAGUGUGAAUCGAGUUGAACUAUAAUUGUAAAAAGCAUGCAAACACGUUUUCUGUGUCUAAAGCAUAUUCAGGUGUUUUAACAAACCUAUACAUUUGAUGUUUGUUGCAUCUAUUGAGCAUUACAUAAAAAUGACUAUUGUCAGUGUUCUGGUCUCAGUCCAUAUUUCAAAAUCUCAUAAUUUUUGUAAGUUAUAUAGGGCUAUGGUAUACCACAUUACAGUUCAUACUGUUCCCAGGGGGUUAAAGCAAUUAUCUUCCUAUUGUAGUUCCAGAAAAACAUAGCAUUUAUGUAUUCACUUGCUGUUAUAAAAGUGAAUUAAUAAAUGUGAUUAAUUAGUGAAGUCAGUGUUUAAUUCUAUAGCGCAUUUCUGUACAUGAAAAAAAACUCUGCAGUUACAAGACCGCUCUCCGGAGCUGUCAGUCAGGUAGCUAGAAUUAUUUUAGCUCCAGUACUGGGUGGGAGCUAGACCAAAAAGAAAGGUGAAUAACCCAGUUCUUCAAACCCCGCAACAAUCAAUGGGAAAACAGAUUCUCCCCACUAGAAAGUCGUACAGAAACACCACCAAAAAGGAAGAGAGCAGAGGAAAAUCCUCGGAGGGAGGAAUAUCUAAAAAGAAAUUAGGAAUGAAGUCAGGUAUUUAUAAUUUAACAGAUAUAGAGUUAACCACAGACAAUCUAAAAGCUCUUAAAAAAGGUCUUAAAUUCGCACCUAAUCAAGGCAUGAAUUAUUUCGAUACCUAUAUGGAUCUCCAAAAAUUCAUUCGGAAGAUGACCCUUAAAAGAUUCUUUCUAAAACAUCCAGGUAAAGAUAAUCCACCUCAGACUCUACAGUCAGAUGAGAAAAAGUUUAAAAAGAGAUCACACUUUUAUCCUAUUAGUCAGAAGGGCCAUCAUCUAGAAACAUUCAGUAGUAUGGUCUGUAGUGACCUAGAACCACUAGAUCUACAGCAAAAAGUUAAUAAAAACAAGAAAUUUAAUCUCACUAAAGGGGAAAGUGCCAGUAUUAAAAAAACUCCAAAGUAUGGAGAAUGUCAUCAUUAAAGAAGCGGACAAGGGGGGGCAGUAGUCCUAAUGACCAAGGACUAUUACCUCAAAGAGGCAGAUAGAAUCUUAGGGGAUAAUAAAACAUACCUAAAAUUAAAACAUGACGCCACAAUUCAGUUCAAUCAAGAACCUAAAUCAUGCCUGUGAGAGAGAUGUGGUAUCUAAAGAAAACAUUGAAUAUCCUGUAAUCCCCAUUUUUAACUUUUUACCCAAGUUACAUAAGAACCCUGUAGAGCCCCCGGGAAGACCCAUCAUAAGUGGGAUAGAUUUAGUUACAUCACGUCUUUCCGAAUUUAUAGAUCACCACUUACAAACAUUUGCUCAACAAGCACCCUCCUAUAUAAGAGACUCCUCCCAUAUUCUGGAGUUAAUGGCAAAUAGAGAUUGGGAAAAAGAUUAUAUAUGGGUAACAAUUGACGUAACGUCGUUAUACACAAUAGUUAAACAUGAGUUGGGCAUUCUAGCGCUAGAGAAAAUCAUGAAGGAGGACACUAACACAUCAAAUGAUUUGAGGAAUUUUGUAUUGGAUGGUAUUCAUUUCAUCUUACACCAUAACUAUUUCUUCUUCAAUAAUGUCUUUUACCUUCAACAAACUGGCACAGCCAUGGGGACCAGUUUUGCCCCCAGCUAUGCCAACAUAUACAUGAGAGCUUGGGAAGCCAACUCCGUGUGCAGGGGGCAUGGCUGGGUUGCAAACCUGGUCCUUUAGAAACGUUUCAUAGACGACGUGAUUCUAAUUUGGAAGGGAACCCAAAGUGAACUGGAAAAGUUCCUAAAUUACAUUAACAUCAAUAAUUAUAAUCUAAAGUUCACCUAUACAUUUGAUACCAGAAGCAUAAACUUUCUGGAUAUUACAUUUUAUAUUACAAAUAAUAAGGUUCAAUCAAAGUGCUACUUUAAGGAAACAGAAGGAAAUAGUUUCAUUCAUAAGAGUUGCCAUCAUGAAAAUCGGCUAAACUCCAUACCUAGGAGUCAACUGAUUCGAAUUAAAAGAAACUGUACAAAUAAUUAUGAUUAUCAGGAACAAGCCAAACAUUUAUGUAACAAACUUAUGUCCAAAAAAUAUGAAAAAAGCAUAUUAGAUAAAGAAGUUAAGGAGGCAGGAAGACUAGAUAGAAAGGAUUUAAUUAAAAAGAAGAAAAGAGUCAAAGAUAAUGGGAAGAAUUUCAAAUAUGCAUUUAUUACCCAGUAUAACAUUCAACAUCGAAAAAUAAAAAAUAUUCUAAAUAAACACUGGGGAAGUUUACUUAAAGAUCCAAUUUUAGGAGAGAUACUACCCAAACGGCCACCGAUGAUUUUCAGAAAGGCAAAAAAUUUAAAAAGUUUACUGGCUCCCAGUUAUGCUUUAAAAAAUAAAUAUGAAAAUAAUAAAGGUGAAAUUAAGGGUUUCAGCUCGUGUAACCAUUGUAAAGCCUGUCUAACACAAAGGUUUUUGAAAGCAUCAAACUUUAAAUGUUCUGUCACAGGUAGGGAAUUUAACAUCAAAACUAACAUAAACUGUGACAGUAAAAAUGUGGUAUAUUUGUUAUACUGUCCCUGUGGGAAGCAAUACGUGGGACGUACAUGUAGAAAACUCAAAAAACGGAUUUUGGAACAUAAAAAUAAUAUUAGAAAAAAAUAUAAUAAACAUUCAGUUCCCAUGCAUUGCAACUCAUGUCCCAAUUUUAGUUGGAAACACUUCCAUUAUAUAGGUUUAGAAAAAAUUAACAAACAUUGGAGGGGUGGCAACCUCAUCAAAAAAUUAGCACAGCGAGAAACGUAUUGGAUUCAUAUAUUGAAAACCCUCCAACCAGGAGGAUUAAAUGCAGGCAUAGACCUGUGGUGUUUCUUAGAAUAACUGUUCCCCCUUCUCCUCUCUCCUUUUUUUCUCUCUCUGUCCGUCAGAGGUUGUGUAUAUUAUAUACAUCCAUUUAAAUAUGUUUUAAUAAGGAAUAAGUCAAGAAUUAGUUCCCCUUUUCUCCACUAGAGAGUAUAGGGAGAAUAAUAGGGGAAUGUAUUUUCUAAUAAAAUUUUCUAUUUUAUGUUAUCUUUUUGAACAUUGGGCUUUUCAGAGGCAUUAGACAUGCCUUAUUUAAAAUUUCAAAUUUCAAGUCUCAAAUUUCAAAAUUUUAUAGUUUUUUUGAUAGGUAGAAGAACUACCACCUUUAUUAUUAUUAUUUUUACAUAUUUUUUAUGCAUUUUUCAUAGAUUUUUUUCAAUUUUUAUAAAUUGUAGAAUUAUACUUUUUCAUACAUUUAUGGUAUCAUUUUGAACAUCUUGGCUUGUGCAUAUUACAUUAUGCAGUGUGCAUGUUGCCUUAUGCAGUAUGGAGUUAGGCAUCUAUGCAAACAGGCAUAUAAAUAUAUCAAUGCAUGAAACACAGGUUAUUGGUGUGUUUGUUUUUUUAUCAAUAAAGUUUAUUUAUAAGAUUUUCAGACCAGUAAUAUCUCUUUAACUAUUUUGUCACUCCCCUUUGUACACUCCCCACUCAUACUCCCAUUUAGAAACAGUCUUUUUCUGACUUUUUUUCAACAUCCCAGCUUGUCACCAUGAUAGACAGCUGAAACGAAGGUGGAACGCAUAGUUGGAACGCAUGACGUCAUCACGUAUGUCACGUGAUCGCAUAGGAUGAACGAAACCCGGAGUGACCAAAUUUGAACCACAAACAGCUGAAGAAAAACUGAAUCAUCUGCAGAACAACUAUUGGGACUGAUUGGGGGUGGUAUAUAUUAGGGGAUGUUUGUAACUAGGAUUGUAUGCAUUUGUACUCAGCAUUGUUGUUAAAGAUUGUCCCUGAGGAAGUCCCUAACAGGGAAGAAACGCGUUGGACUGAUAUAUCUGCUAUUAUUUACUUUGAUGCAAGUAAUAAAUGCUUUUUUUACUCUUUAUCCAUACAGUCAUUUCAUCCAUUUUUUUGCACCUUGUUUUUUUUAUAUAUGAGAUUUACAUUCAUCAAGCAUUGAAGCAAGAAGGCACACCAAGCACAUUUUUAAGGCAUUUCUUGGGAUGUUAAAGUGUGAGUGAGUAUUAUAUACAGUAUUGCACUAUGCCACAUAUCUUUUAUUUCCCUGGCUUGGAAUAGCCCUAUACCAUACAUUUGUUGAAUUGAAGAUAGGAGGAAAUCUUAGGGCAUAUCCUAUAUUGCUAAGGAAAGUUAUUUUUUAUUUGUUUAUUUCACCAUAAUCACCUUUAAAUUGAAAUCUUUGUAUCACUGUAUGUGGAUAUUAGAAUCACUGUUGUGAAUUUACAGUGUGAGAGAUUUCAUAUAUUUUUUUAUCCAGUACUGGAUGCCUCAGAUUAAUCAAACUCACACUUUGAAGAGUCUGAGAAGAGGCUGUUUUUUUGUUUGUUUGCUUUUUUUUUUUUUUGAUGCAGAAAAUAAGCAGCUUAGUUGCCAUGAUGUACAAAAGGUAUGCACAAUGGGGCGUGGCGUGGCUUGACUGUGAAGCUGUACCGACGCACAAGCCAAGAGCUCCUGGGCCCAGGGCCAAUUCCGGCUAAAAUCGGGGGCAAAUUAAAUAAUCCUGAACCCCACCUCACCACAAUUUGCUCCGCAGACACUUGUGAACAGGGGAAAAACCGCCGGAAUGACCAAGCUGAGGCCUGGGGCCUAUACCAAGCAGGGCAAGGGAAAGGCCGCUGCUCUCCUGACCCACAACCACACGCAGCACCUGCAGAAAAUGGCUGUCCCCAACCCCUAGGACCGGUUGGGGUUAUCCCGGUCCCAAUCGUCUCGACUGGCAAGCCUCAGUGGACCCUAAAAGCGGACACCAGCCCCACUCACACACCAAACUUACAGGCAACUCGCGCUUUGAAAUGGCGGACACGCAGACUCAUGGACAAUUUGGGCCUCCACAACAAAACCCCACCACAAAAGACUCUCUCAAUACCCGCCUAGACGAGCUGUUUGAGGCCUUCUGGGCACGGAUAGCGGCCCGACACAAGGCAGAGCAAUCAAAGCUGCUGGAGAACGGAAGCACGGAGGGCCAACAAGGCGCCAUCGACCGAAGUGGGACCAGGCUGCCUUCGGGCAAAGCCGUGAAAACACAGUCUAAGAAUCUCCUCACCAGCCCAUCUGGGCCGAGGGCCAUCAGGGGAUCAACCCCUGAGCAUCGACCACGCAGGCGGAGACCCACUCGCCGACGGCGGCAUACCACCAACACCACGGUCUACAGACCAGUCCCGAAAGGGAAGGACCCGGCUUUCACAAGUCCCCGAGUCCAUGGCCACAAGAUGCCGGCCCUUCUACAGGCCCGGAGCAAGAGGGCGCCACCGGUUAGCUCCUGGCCGACCGCCAACCUCCACAAUACCUCACACAAUCGCAAGAAAGCACAGCAGCAUGCGCCCGCGGUGAAGGCUCUAACCCAGAUGGCGCACAAGCAGCAGAGCCCAAUGAAGCUGUCAGCAACACGGAGGUGGGAACCACUGAAGAGCAGACCUCAGCACUAUUGUAC
rnacentral:lncRNA from 1 species